ensembl:lncRNA
UAGCUGACUCAGGCAGACCGUGUCCCGGAUAAACCCGUCCUAACAAAAUGCGUCACACACAGAAAUGAGAUGGUUUAGAAUCUUUUAUUGUACAAAAGUGAGGUAGAUGUACACCAUAACAUCAUGAUGUGUGUUUGUAGUAGCUUAUGUCAUGUUGACCUGCUGGAAAAUCCCUGACCACUGGCUGGCUGACCAGCUGCAAUGGUUUGCUUUCUGAGAUGGUCUAUUAGUUUGGACCAGUGAGAAACCAGCUACAAUGUUCCAAAACACAGCUUAAUUGGGAUUUUCCAGCAAGAAGACCACAAAAAAUCCCAGUCAGUGUAAUGACUGGACAAUCAGACGAAUACAGUCUGAACCACACACACACACACACACACACACACACACACACACACACACACACAGAACAACCAGAAACCAUUCGUGGUCAAUAAAUAAAUAUAAAAUAAAAAAGUUAUGAACAUGAAUAUCCGUGGAAGUCCUGUCAGUCACACUUCUCGUAGAGGUAAUAGUACCGCGUCACGUCCUGAAUCACGGUAGCUUGAACAAGCACUAUUAGUCACACAUUUCCAAAACAACCUGCUCUCCGAUGAGUAAUCGGCUGUCACAUUGUUCCCCUGUGAGUGAUAACCCACUGACUGCUCCACAACAGUCAAGUGUCCCGAAUACUCCAGCAGGAGAUCCCUCAAUAGUGCGCAAAGUUGACUCUGCUGUCCUUGUGUUGUGCCACUGCUGUUAUGGUCUCUUCAGAACGUGACAAUAGUUCUCGGCAUAGGCACGAGUGACCGUGAGUCCAGCGCUCUGCAGUGACUCUGGGUCGCCUGAAGAAUCCCUCUGACCUCCGCGAACUCCAGCUUGGCUUUUUUGCACGGUAGAAAGUCAGGGUCUGUGGCUGCUUUGCUCCGCCGCUUUCUUGAGUGACGAUCCGUUCCGGCCGGGCUGCAGUUCUCUUUGUCCACUGCGAGUCCUGCGGGGUCGUGUAUCUGUGAAUGACCCUCGAGUCCGGACCUCUGCCCGUCCUCGGUAGCCUGCGUCUCUGUGGAGCUCGUUGUGUCCAUGGGCUCUUCUGCUUGUGCUGGGCUCUCUGUGACUCCGCGUGUGUCAGAUUGCAGCUUUUCCUCGCUGGUCAGUCGGGCAGAGUGGUAGAUGUCCCUUGCAGAUCUCAUGACGAGCGUCAGCAGCAGGCUCCGGUGGAGACGGAGUCCACCGCGCUGCGUGCGCGAGCUGUAUAUUUUACUCAACGCCUGGACCAUAACCUGCUUGGCCUCUGCCGUGACAUCCAUUGUUCUUAGUUAUUCACUUAACUUUUUAAAACAACAGCAACGGUUCAGACAGUUCCCUCCGAGCUCGGGUCACUUUCACCGUC